ACUGGUGAGUAACACGUGGAUAACGUACCCCGAUGCCCGGGACAGCCUGUAGAAAUAGAGGGUGAUACCGGAUAGAUCACUGUAUACGGAAGGUAAACAGCGGGAAAGGAGCUUCUGCUCCGCGCCGGGAACGGUCUGCGGCCCUCUGAUGGAUAGUUGGUGGGGUAAAGGCCUACCGAGGUGACGAUCUGGAGCGGGUCUGAGAGGAUGAUCCGCCACACUGGGACUGAGACACGGCCCAGACUCCUACGGGAGGCAGCAGUGGGGAAUUUUGGACAAUGGGCGCAAGCCUGAUCCAUCCAUGCCGCGUGUCUGAGAAGGCCUUCUGGUUGUGAGGACCUUUGUUACGGAAGAAGAAUGAGCGGUAUAUACCCGUUUCUGCUGACCGGACCUAAAGAAUAAGCACCGGCUAAGUACGUGCCAGCAGCCGCGGUAAUACGUAUGGUGCCAGCGAUCAUCAGUAUUGCUGGUCGUAAAUGCAGCGCAGACUGUUACUUAGCAUGAUGUGAAAUCCCCGCUCUUCACCUGAGAACUGUGUUCUACAGUGAGUGGGUAGAGUAUGUCAGAGGAGAGGUAAAAUUCCACGUGUCGCAGAGAAGUGCAUAUAUAUGUGAGAGGACAUACCAUAUGGCAAAGGACACUCCCUGGGGAUGAUACUGAGACGUCCUGGAUCGAAAGCCUGGGGUAGCCAAACAGGAUUUAAAUACCCUGGUAGUCCA
rnacentral:rRNA from 1 species